CAGGUACUCCCUCUGUCCCGACAUACUUGUCGAAAAAACUGAUAAAACUAGAUGUAUCUAGAACUAAAAUAUGACUAGAUACAUUCAUUUCUCCGACAAGUAUUUCCGGACGAAGGGAGUUCAAU
rfam:Triticum aestivum genome assembly, contig: Triticum_aestivum_CS42_TGACv1_scaffold_641404_T_5BL-0.229448_6BL-0.137294